rnacentral:rRNA from 1 species
GACGAACGCUGGCGGCGUGCUUAACACAUGCAAGUCGAACGCUGAAGCUCAGCUUUUGUUUGGCGGAUGAUUGGCGAACGGGUGAGUAACACGUGAGUAACCUGCCCCUUUCUUUGUGAUAACGCCCGGAAACGGGUGCUAAUAUUGGAUAUUCACUUUUCUUCGCAUGGGGGUUGGUGGAAAGGGUUUUUCUGGUGUGGGAUGUGGUCGCGGCCUAUCUGCUUGUUGGUGGGGUAAUGGGGUAACCAGGCUUUGACGGGUAGCCGGCGUGAACGUGUGAACGGUAACUUUGGGACUGAGCAGCGGCCCAGACUACGACGGGAGGGAGAAGUGGGGAAUAUUGGACAAUGGGUGAAAGAGUGAUGCAGCGACGCCGAGUGAGGGAUGGAGGUCUUAGGGUUGUGAAACUCUUUAGGACAAGGUGAAGCAGCAACAAUGCUUGUGGUGAGGGUAGUGGGUAAAGAAGCGCCGGCUAACUACGUG